GGAGACUGAGAGCGCGACAAGGCCCUGGACAGAUGCCCGCGCGGGGAAGGAAGGCUGGCUUAGGAGGGGGCGUCAGCUAUGGUUUAGCAGCUUCCAGCGACCGAAACCUACAUCACAGCCGCAGCACACAAUUCCAGGAAACCUGGUGCUCAAUAUUGGGAUCUCAGGAAUCAGGACCGGCGGCUGGGGUGAAAGCCUAGCGGUCAGAGCUUAGGAGUGAGGCAGAAGCUGUUAGAGACUCUUCGCAAGUGACCCCGGGGCUACAUAUGGAUGAUUCAAGAGGGAGUCUCCUCGCCAGAAAGUUCACAUGUUUCACUCCUUCUGGCCUUCAUACCAACCCAUUGUUAAAACUGGAAGUCCCUCCACCUGGGGUCACUGACUCCACUGUUUUCAGAUAGGAUGGGGACCCUGCACUGGAGACUGCUCUCUAGCCCCUGGGCAGGAGAGGCACAGACACUGCUACGCACGCGGAGCAGGGAUCACCAGCGCUUUGACUGACUUUGCUCGUCCAGGAGGCUGGGGACAUGCGUGCCCAUGCUCAGCCCACCCCCUCUGUAGACACAAUUGGUCGCCCAUUCUGUUUAUAGGAAGUCUUCCAUCCUGCACCAGCAGCUGUCCCUAGACAGGGAUUGGGAGACAUGCAAGUUGCUUGGCUUCCUAUUACCUUGUGUUGAAAACACAAUAGGCUUUGGGAUCAGGAGUUCAUUCCAGUUAUUUUAAUGUUAUUUACUAGCAGUGUGCCCUCGUGCACAUUAUCAAACUCCUCUGACUCUUGGAAUCCUCAUUUUUCAAUAAUAACUCACAAAGCUGUCAAGCCUAAGGGUUCUAACAGCUCGAACAGCACCUGGAACAGAAGCAAUAGCCGCCACUCAGAGGUUACUUCUUCCUUCUCCGCCUUCUCUGGAUCACCUCCCUACCUCAUCCUCAAUCUAACGCUGGAAAUAUUGGAUAUGGGGUUCUUCAAUCUCAAAUAAAUCAUCUGUAGAGUCCCCUCCAGUUCCGAAAUUCUCUCUAUGUCUUGGAGUGUGUGGAAUAGCCAGGAAACCAGCCCAGGAGCUUUGACUCCCAGCCAUUCUGAUGACUCCACCUGGACCAGUGACUCCUCUGUGGCCCGCAUCCAAAUGCAACUCGGUGCACUGAGGACGGUUUUCCACACCCCUGUGAUUGCAUCCCCAACCAAUUAGCAGCACCCAUUCUCUAGCCCCUUGCCCAUCAAACUAUCAUUAAAAAACUCUAGCCGGCGGGCAUGGUGGCUCACGCCUGUAAUCCCAGCACUUUGGGAGGCUGAGGUGGGUGGAUCACUUGAGGUCAGGAGUUCAAGACCACUCUGGCCCACAUGGUGAAACCCUGUCUCUACUAAAAAUGCAAAAAUUAGCCGGGCAUGGUGGCAUGUGCCUGUAAUCCCAGUUACUCGGGGGGCUGAGUCAGGAGAAUUGCUUGAAUCCGGGAGGCAGAGGUUGCAGUGAGCCGAGAUCAUGCCACUGCACUCCAGCCUGGGUGACAUAGCAAGACUCCCUCUCAAAAGAAAAACAAAAACAAAAACAAAA
ensembl:lncRNA TMEM139-AS1 TMEM139 antisense RNA 1